rnacentral:snRNA from 1 species
UCAAAUCGAGAAGAUUAAUCGUUG